rnacentral:rRNA from 1 species
UACGGGGGGAGCAAGCGUUGUUCGGAUUUACUGGGCGUAAAGGGCGCGUAGGCGGCCACGACAAGUCACUUGUGAAAUCUCCGGGCUUAACUCGGAACGGUCAAGUGAUACUGUCGGGCUAGAGUGCAGAAGGGGCAACUGGAAUUCUCGGUGUAGCGGUGAAAUGCGUAGAUAUCGAGAGGAACACCUGCGGCGAAGGCGGGUUGCUGGGCUGACACUGACGCUGAGGUGCGAAAGCGUGGGGAGCAAACAGG